UACAGUCAAAUCACCUUCUAAACACCGGUCCUCGUUUGAUCACCAGAGUUAAGCAGCGUUUUGCCUGGUCAGUACUUAAAUGGGGAGACAGCUUGGGGAAUACCAGGUGCUGUAAG